rnacentral:rRNA from 1 species
UACGUAGGGGGCAAGCGUUGUCCGGAAUCAUUGGGCGUAAAGCGCGUGUAGGCGGUCCGGUAAGUCCACUGUGAAAGUCGGGGGCUCAACCCUCGGAUGCCGGUGGAUACUGUCGGGCUUGAGUACGGAAGAGGCGAGUGGAAUUCCUGGUGUAGCGGUGAAAUGCGCAGAUAUCAGGAGGAACACCAAUUGCGAAGGCAGCUCGCUGGGACGUUACUGACGCUGAGACGCGAAAGCGUGGGGAGCAAACAGG